CCAAUAGCGUAUAUUAAAGUUGUUGCAGUUAAAAAGCUCGUAGUUGAAUUUUGGAUCUGACCAAGCGGUCCGCCUUUGUUGAGUACUGUUUGUGUCGGGUCUAUCCUUCUGGUGAGCUGGUAUGCCCUUUAUUGGGUGUGUCAGGGAACCAGGACCAUUACCUUGAAAAAAUUAGAGUGUUUAAAGCGGGCAUAAGCUUGAAUAGAUUAGCAUGGAAUAAUAGAAUAGGACGUUGUGGUUCUAUUUUGUUGGUUUCUAGGACCACCGUAAUGAUUAAUAGGGAUAGUUGGGGGCAUUAGUAUUCAAUUGUCAGAGGUGAAAUUCUUGGAUUUAUUGAAGACUAACUACUGCGAAAGCAUUUGCCAAGGAUGUUUUCAUUAAUCAAGAACGAAAGUUAGGGGAUCGAAGACGAUCAGAUACCGUCGUAGUCUUAACCAUAAACUGUGCCGACUAGGAAUCGGGCGACGUUAUUUUAAUGACUCGCUCGGCGCCUUAUG
rnacentral:rRNA from 1 species